rnacentral:rRNA from 1 species
AACGAACGCUGGCGGCAGGCCUAACACAUGCAAGUCGAGCGAGGACUUCGGUCCUAGCGGCGGACGGGUGAGUAACGCGUGGGAACGUGCCCUUUGCUACGGAAUAGCCCCGGGAAACUGGGAGUAAUACCGUAUGUGCCCUUCGGGGGAAAGAUUUAUCGGCAAAGGAUCGGCCCGCGUUGGAUUAGGUAGUUGGUGGGGUAAUGGCCUACCAAGCCGACGAUCCAUAGCUGGUUUGAGAGGAUGAUCAGCCACACUGGGACUGAGACACGGCCCAGACUCCUACGGGAGGCAGCAGUGGGGAAUCUUAGACAAUGGGGGAAACCCUGAUCUAGCCAUGCCGCGUGAGCGAUGAAGGCCUUAGGGUUGUAAAGCUCUUUCAGUGGGGAAGAUAAUGACGGUACCCACAGAAGAAGCCCCGGCUAACUCCGUGCCAGCCGCCGCGGUAA